rnacentral:rRNA from 1 species
GACAAACGCUGGCGGGGUGCGUGAGACAUGCAAGUCGAACGGGGUUCAUCGGGCUUGCUCGGUGAACCUAGUGGCGGACGGCUGAGUAACGCGUAGGUGACCUGCCCGGAAGUGGGGAUAACUGCCCGAAAGGGUGGCUAAUACCGCAUGUGGUCGGCGAAUCAGUUCGUCGUCCAAAGCCGCAAGGCGCUUCCGGAGGGGCCUGCGUCCGAUUAGCUAGUUGGUGGGGUAAUGGCUCACCAAGGCGACGAUCGGUAGCUGGUCUGAGAGGAUGAUCAGCCAGACUGGACUGAGAACGGCCCAGACUCC